rnacentral:rRNA from 1 species
CUUGCUUCUCUUGAGAGCGGCGGACGGGUGAGUAAUGCCUAGGAAUCUGCCUGGUAGUGGGGGAUAACGUCCGGAAACGGACGCUAAUACCGCAUACGUCCUACGGGAGAAAGCAGGGGACCUUCGGGCCUUGCGCUAUCAGAUGAGCCUAGGUCGGAUUAGCUAGUUGGUGGGGUAAUGGCUCACCAAGGCGACGAUCCGUAACUGGUCUGAGAGGAUGAUCAGUCACACUGGAACUGAGACACGGUCCAGACUCCUACGGGAGGCAGCAGUGGGGAAUAUUGGACAAUGGGCGAAAGCCUGAUCCAGCCAUGCCGCGUGUGUGAAGAAGGUCUUCGGAUUGUAAAGCACUUUAAGUUGGGAGGAAGGGCAGUAAAUUAAUACUUUGCUGUUUUGACGUUACCGACAGAAUAAGCACCGGCUAACUCUGUGCCAGCAGCCGCGGUAAUACAGAGGGUGCAAGCGUUAAUCGGAAUUACUGGGCGUAAAGCGCGCGUAGGUGGUUCGUUAAGUUGGAUGUGAAAUCCCCGGGCUCAACCUGGGAACUGCAUUCAAAACUGACGAGCUAGAGUAUGGUAGAGGGUGGUGGAAUUUCCUGUGUAGCGGUGAAAUGCGUAGA